AAAAUUCAUUCUUUCGGCUGGGUCCAACACCAAGCAUAAACAUCACAGACCCCAAAUUGAUAAGGGAAAUUAUGUUAAGGUAUGAAAUAUUUCAAAAACCCAACAGAAGCCCACUUAGCCGGUUGGUGUUCAAUGGGAUGGUGAUGUAUGAGGGUGAACAAUGGUUCAAAGUCAGAAAGAUAGCCAACCCAGCUUUCCAUCUAGACAAGUUGAAGGAUAUGUUACCUAAAAUGUGUUUGAGUUGCAAUGAGAUGAUAAGGAAAUC